AGCACUGUGCUGAAGGUGGGCAUGGUUUACUGAAAUUUCACACAAUCGGGUGCCUGUGCACGCAGACCUCAAUCUGCCCUCACUCUCACCCCAGCUGCUGCUCGUAGUCUGUCUUGCGUCACCGUGUGCUGCCAGGAGUGUUUGUCUUAACCCCACCGGCUCCUGAGGACCAUGGAGCCACGCUCCUGUCAUCCCCCUCCUCGAAGAAGGCCGUGUCUGCAUUAGCAAUGCAGGUUCACUCUGUGCCUUCUGUGGCUAAGGACGUGAAGGAGCUGGCGGUAGAGGGGUCAGAGGGGGCAGCACGACCCGGAAGUGAUUCAGGAGCCUCGGUCACAACAGGCCUCCGGGUUAUAACUCUUAAAAAACACAUUUUCAGUAAUCCCAGGCACUGUGCUCCUGCGUUACCCUGCACGGGGGAGACACCUCUGUCAUGCACGGCCUCGUCUUCCUGCCCUGCUCACGCAGCGGCGGAAAGAUCAGAGGAAAACCUCUGGGCGCGCUACGCAGGGAGACGCAGCGCCCAGCCGCCCUGACCAGCGUCUGCCUGACCAGCGUCUGUCUGACCAGGCUGUCGGCCAUGUUGCUACGGUUUGUCUCCGCCUGAGUGCAUUGUGAAAUUAGCUGUGGUCCUGUGCCUGCCUCUGCCCAGAGAGAUGUGACCAGAAGAGACUUGUUCCAUUUCCACAAGGUGGCUGUAAGGCUUGAACAGGUGGACAGUCAAAAAGAAAAUGAGAGGGAUCUCAAAGAAGAAAUGCAUAAUGUAGCAAAAGGCAAUUGAAGAAGGAUAGCCAACAGAGGACCAUGCCACCAGGGAAGCAAAUCAAAUAGCUCACUCUGGAUUUUCAAUUCAUCACAGAUCUAUGUUCUCUCUGACCUACAGAGACAAGGUAGGUAUAUUUUUCUUCUACUCUAAACUGGAAAGCAGGCUCCAAGUUGGAGCAAAGUUCUGUGUGUAGCAGGGCUGUAUCCCAAGAUUGGCUGUAGAUAAACAGAUUGCUUUUAAGACUUACCUUUGGAGCUAGUCAUCUCCAACCGACCUGUAUUCAAUGACAUCUUUGACUACUUUUACAGGUUGAGCAAUUUACUUAGCAUUUUACAUUAUAGGUAUAAUUCCAGAACAAAUGCCAUACGAUUUUUGUGUGAGGGUUCCUUAAGAUAUGUAGUGCAGUAGAAACAGCAUCUUCUAGGGACGCAUUCUAUAUCAGUGCUGGUUAUUAUUAUUAGGAGUGAUUUGUUGUCAUUCUGACUAGUAGAAUCUUUUUGUUUUUUGAAUUUUUUAAAAAAUAAUUAUUUUAGAGAGUGAAACAGAAGAGGAGAGGGAGGAGAGAGAAAGACAGUUUAUUGGUUUACUUCCCCAAAUAUCCAUGGCACUUUGGGUGCUGAAGCUGAGAGGCAGGAAAUUAAUCCAUGUCUCCCACAUGGAUAGUACAGACCUAUCCAUCAUCUGAUGUCUUCCAGGGUAUGCAGUAGCAGGAAUUAGAAGCAGAGCUGGGACUUAAGACUUGGUAUUCCAAUGUGAGUCAUGGGCAUCCCAACUGGCAUCUUAAUCACUAGGCUACUAGACCAAAUAUCCACUCUUUUUUUUCUUUUUAAAAACGUUCUUAUUGAUGCAUUAUUAGCAUUCCAGAUAGUUCACCAUUUAAAGUGAAAAUUUGAUGUUAUUUAGCAUGUUCAAAAAUAAGUGCAGCCAUUACCAAAGUCAAUUAAAGAAUAUUUUCAUCAUCUCAAAAAGAAACCCUGUACCCUUUAACUAUUUAACAAAUAAUCUUUCUACUCCUAUAGAUUCACUUAUUAUGGAAAUUUCAAAUGAAUGGAAUCACAGAAUAUGGCUUUUGAGACUGAGUUCUUUCAUUUAGCAUGUUCUAAAGAUGCAUACCUGCUUCAGAAAUUCAUUACUUUUACAGCUGAUUAAUAUUCUGUUGUAAGCAUAUAUCACAUUUUGUUAUCCAUUCAUCAACUGAUGGAUACUUGGGUUGUUUUAGCCUUUUGAGUAUUAUUAAAAAUAUUGCUAUAAACAGUUUUUGCGUAUAUACAUUUUCAUAUCACUAGUUGAGGAGUGAAACAGCUGAGUCAUAUUUUAACUCUGUGAGGAACUGCUAGACUAUUUUCCAAAGUAUGUUAAUCAUUUCUGAGUCCCAACAAUGUUCAAGAGUCCUGAUUUUUCUACAUUGAUUAAAUCUUCUGUUUGUUUACGAGUGAAAUGGUACUUAGUAUCACUUGACUUCAAGGAAGUGCAAAUUGAAAUGCAAUACCUAUUAAAAAAAGACAAAAAGUAACAAGUGCUGGCAAGGUUGUGAAGAAAAGGGAAUUGUAAUAUAUUAUUGGUGGGAAUGUAUAGUAGAACAGCCUUCAUGGGAAUAAUAUGGAGGUUCUUCAAAUAAUUAAAAUAGAACUACUGUAUGAUCCCACAAUACCACUGCUGUGUAUACACCCAAAAGCAACAAAAUCUGUCUGUCAAAGAGAUACCUAUACACCCAUGAUUGUUGCAACACUACUCAUGUCCAUCAACAGAUGAAUGGAUAAAGAAAAUGUGGUAUAUAUGCAUAACAGAAUUUUAUUCAGACAUAAAAAAAGAAUGACAUUCUGUCAUAUGCAGCAGUAUAAAUGGAUCUGGAGCUUAUUAGGUUGAAUGAAAUAAACUAGGCAUAAAGAGAAAAAUACUACACAUUAUCACUCAUACCUAGAAGCUAAAAAAGUUGAUCUCAUUGAAGAGGAGUUUAAUAGUGGUCACUAGAGGCUACGAAAGGGUCAAGGAAGAGGGAAUUAGAAAAUGAUUCGAUAAUAGAUAUCAAUAUGCACUUAGAUAGGAAUAAGUUCAGAUGUUCAUUACACAGUACAAUGGCUAUAUAUACCAUAUAUGUAAAAAAGCUAGAUCAAAGGAUUUUGGAUAUUUUUUCACAACAAAGAAAUGUUAAAUGUUUGAGGGUAUAGAAAAUUCUUACUCUGAUUUAAAUAUUAGAUACUGUAUAUAUGUAUUGAAGCAUCAUGUAGUACCACAUAAAUAUGUGUAAUUUUUAUGUGUCAAUUUAAAAAUAAAAAUCAUUCUACUUUAAAAAAGUGAAUUGAAUACAAUUUAAGUCUACCAAAACUUCACAAGGACUUAGAUUGGCAGAAGUUAGAGUUGGGUCUUAUAAGAUUUUAAGGCAUUCACAAAAAGAUAGUGAGCUAAAAUUAUAGAUCUUUGAUUUUGGAAAUUUUGACAUCUACAGUAUUUUUAUCAUAAAAUUUUAUACCAUGAACUUAUAAUUUGUUAUGCACGCUAUUAUACUUUUGAGAGUAAAAAUGAAUCUAUCGAUAAUCAUACUGAAAUAGCAAGAGUAAGCUGAACUAUUUUCCAUACCUCACUAUAGGCUCACUCAUUUGGAGUUAUUUUACUUGUUUCUUCCAGCAGAGGUGAUGGAUUUUUCUUGACCUCUGUUAUAAGCAGGAUACAUGAAUAUGCAUACAUGCUGGAUUAAGCUAAAUAUUGGGUCUCCCUCAGAAUGAGCCAAAAUAACUGAUGCGCACAGGAAAAAAAAUCCUAGCUUUUUCAGUGGUUUGUGUGGUUUUUACAAUUAAGCUGAAGUGUAUUGCAUCAUGGAAUUUACAUUUUCUUUAGUGGCUAUGCUUUUAAGCACUUAAGUUUACUGCAUUUCAUCUCUUACUACAUUUACCUCCCAACCCCAAGAAUGACUAUUACAGUGUUAGACACGUACAUGCAGUCCCCCAAAAAUGUAUACUCAAAAAUAAUUCACAUUUGAGUGCUUAGAUUUAUAAGAACAAUACAAAGGGAUCAUUCUUCAUAUUUAGGGAACAAGAUUUUUAAAAUAAACUCUUGUGUAUCUUCUCUUCUCCUGUCUCUCUUUGUUUCCCCUCUCAUACCCUUUACAUCAUAGUUCCUGAAAAACAAACAAAAAGCUUACCUCCACAUCCUUAUAGUAUGGUCUGUAGUAAAAAAUGUUAUUAACUGGAGUUCAAGUUUUGAUGGCCAACGUCCAUUUGACGUUAUGAAGCUGUGUUUUGGCAGAGUACCACUGAGAACUUGAACAGACAGAGAGACAGCUCUUCUUUCCCCCUGGGAGUGAAGUACUGAAUACCAUAUUUCUGCCCUAAUUCACUCUCUGGAGGAGCUACCUUUGCCAGCAGCAGGAGAAGACUUAUAGUCAUUAAAAACAACCGUGAGAAAAAGUCAGAGAGGGAGGAAAAUGAUGCUGUCCCCUUUGAAUACACAGGAGGGUUUCCACAAGAACACUUGCAUUAGGUGAAAGCUUGACCCUCAAGUAGUUGCCUAGGUCAACAGGACCUGAGGCCAUCCCUUGUGUAAGGUUCGGUCAGGUAAGUUAAAGCCGCCUUCAGGGCACUCUCAAUUUAGACACCAAUUUCCUCAAGACUAAGAAAAGAAAGCAGUGCUGCAUGAGUCCAACUUUAUCUGUUGCUUUUUUUCCUUUUUUCCUUUGUUCCUGUGAGAUUGGUGUAUUUAAGAGAGAGUAACUUCAAAUGACUGGGCACUUUAUACAAGGAUGUUGCCUCCUGGUCUGACCGUGGACUAACUCUUCAGCAAUUCCAAUGCAUUCUUUGGUUCCGGGAUGGCUACAUACAAUUUUUCAAAACACAUUUUUACUUACAACCCCGAUAAAUUCUAGGUUUUCUCCUUACCAUGAAUUUUAGAAAUAUUUUCUCUGUGCCACAUUAGGUCCAGGGGAAAGUGUUGUCUGUUAUUACAAUUUCAUUUUCCAAUUCUCAACUGGUUUCAUGUCCAGUUCUUUCCCUCCAUUUAACCCUGAAACUGCUCUGUGGUACUUUGGUUUGAUCGGACUCCUAGCUUGAAAAAUCCAGAAUAUGUUCUUUUUUUCUCCCAAGACACAAUGUAUGCUAUGUUCAUUAACUGUCACAGUAGGACAUUUUAGGAACUACUGUUAUAUAUAUAUAUAUAUAUAUAUAUAUAUAUAUAUAAUGUUCUCAAAAUGAAGAAAAAAGAAAAUAAAGUACUCUGUAGUUAUACUACCACUGUCAAGGUUAACCAGAAUUUUGCUUUGAAUACAAUUUGGUGAUCUUAAUAUAUUCACUGAAUCUCUUUGGUAUAUUUGAAUUUCAUGAUUUUAAGAAAAUUUAUACCUUUUGGGCUUAUAUGACACUGAUGUUUGUUGAUUAUCCUUAUAGUUCUGUGGUUAUUUUUCUUAGUCACAGAUGGUUUCUCUUUUCCAGUGCAUUUCAGCAUUUCACAAUUUUGUGCUUGGAGUACUGUGUUUCUCACAGUAACAUACUGUAGUAUUCAGGCAAAAAUUGAUUGUGGCAAAACUGAGGAUUAGAGUUGUCCACAAAAAUUUCCUAAGGUCUCACAUUGUAGAGGAACAUAUACAUUUCAGUAACUUUAAGUACUUUUUUUCUAGUAUUGAAACUAAUCACUAUUCAUGCCCAGAUGAAUAGUAGCUUUCUCUUAAGCCUAUGUUAUAUAAAGAUUAAAUAACUUUUAAAGAUUAUAAAGAUAUAUACCAGUGCAAAACAUUAAUAUAGGACAGGUAUAUGAAUAUUGAAAUCAAAGAAGGAUCUAUUUCCUCUGAAAUGGCAGUUGGAGUCACUGCUCUUAGGAAGUUGUGAUUUCUUCCUCUCUUGUAAAGCAUGUGAAGUUGAAUUUGUAAUAGUAAAGGAUGUGUGUGAUCAGUUGCUGUUACUCUACUAGGAGAUUUCUGUCCAAGCCAACAAUGUUGUGUACCACCAUUUCGUAGAUGCAUAUGGAAUACUAAUAUUUGUAUUAAUUUAAUUUUGCACUUUUGAUGGUAUCUGGUAGAUACUACAACCACAAGAACAUACAGAAAACAAUUGUGGUUAACUACCUCUUAUUAUGCAUAUUUACUAAAUUCAUUCAUUAAUUAUUUAAAUUGACUAUAUGGUUGGAUGUAAGGCAAAUAUUAGAGGUUGCAGGGCAAACUAAGUUUAAAAAAUUUCUGUUAUUGGAGGUUAUAAUUUUAUAUACAAUGGUAAAUGUAUUUAUGCUUUUUUAAAAAACAAAAUUUAUUAAGCAUUGACUAUAUAUUAAGUACUUUGCAGAACUCUGAAAAUAUAAAAAAAGGUCUGAUUUCGUAGGGCUUCAAAUUUAUGAUUAGUACAAGAAGGGAAAUGAAAAGACACAUAAAAUGAUUAUUACAAUGCUAUGGAUAUGUGCAAUAGAGCCACAUAAUGAGUCAUAUGGUAUUAGAAAAGAAACACAGUGUUGUUACAAUAAAUUAAUCUUUAUCAAGGAGGAGUAAGAAAAUCCUGACCUAAUAGAUCUUUUACUUAAAUGACUUAAUUGUUGAUUCCAUUAAUUUAUUAUGCCUGGAAUGGUCACUUCUGUAAAAAAACUAUUAUAUGAAGUUUUUUGUUUAAGGAUGACUUUAUGAUAAUCAGUAGCACGUUGACUGGGACUUGGAUACAGUCAUUAUUUUAGUUCCGGGAGAUAGUUACAUAAGUGAGCUACAAGAUCAUAAACCAAAAGAUGAAAACAUAAAUCAUGAGCUAUAACUUAUGAUUUCUCAGCUGAGCAUGUUGUAUGAUAGGGAAAUGGAGAAAACAAGACUGGGUGGCUAAAUUGAACACUAUGGAAUAGUUUCAAGCUAGAUAGAAUUUGUACUUUAUCAACUAUCUAUCCAUCCAGCUCAAUGACUUGUUACUCAUUUGCAUUGCAGUUACUGUGCUAUGUUCUGAAGACACAUUUUUAAAAAGAUAGAAGAACAAAACGUAGUUAAUACUCUCAUCAUGGAGGAGAAAACAUAAGCAAAAUAAGAAAUACAACAUAAUCUCAUAACUGACAUAACAUAAAGAAGAGAAUCUGGAAUCUGUCUCUAGGAGUCAAAAAGUCUGCACUAGUGUGAAUAGGUCUGUCCCAAAUUCAGGUGUUGCCAAUGUGAUGGUAUUAGGAAGUGAGGCCCUUAAGCGGUGAAUAGGCCAUGAGGGUUUCUUCCUCUAGGAUCAGAUUAGGAGCCCUUGUAAAGGGUUUGAUGAAAGGAGUCCUUCUGCAUUUUGAUAUAUGAGGACACAGUGUUCCUGCCCUACAGAGGACUCAGCAUUCAGAGCGCAUCAUUGAAGCAGAGAUCAGGCCCUCAUCAGUUGGUGAAUUUAUUGUGACCUUCCUAGUCUCCAGGAUGAGGAAAGAGGAGUAGUGAUUCUGGCUGAUGCAAAUAAACAAGAAUGUUUGAGUUUUUCCCUCUAGCUUGGUAGGCUCUUGAAGGGAUUCUUAUGGAGGAUCAUUAUGCUUUAACUUGUGUUUUAUAGAUUUGACUCUAGACAAUAUGUGAAAGAUAGCUUGCAGUGACAAAGCUAAGAUCAAGCCUGGCUGCAGAACCAGUUCAAAGGGUAUUGUACCAAAAUGUGGUAGCAGAAUUGGAGAUGUAAGAGAUAUAAGGAACAGGAAUUAAAGUCAAGAAGCAGUAAAAUGAAUGUAGCUUCUGUCUUUCUUAGGUUACUGAGUAAAUAGAGUCACCAUUAGGUCAUCUAACUGGUGAUUUUGCUAGAUUGGAUCAGGUACUCCUAAGCUGUAGAGUUAUAGAAAACUUCUUUUCAACAAGAAUGUUUGGUGUAAAUUGAUAGAUACUGGGGAUUUUCUUGGACAAAGGGACAAGAUCUAGAACAAUGUUUCCCAAAUGAAGCAUAAGAAACUACAGACAGUGGGGCAGAUGGCAUGAAGUUAGGACAAUGAAAUAAAUGGCCAGUGUUAGUUAUUAUAUCUUCUUUAUCUAUCAUAAGCUCAAGAUUAACCAGAAAAGCAAGAGUGAGAUGAGAUUCAGCCACAUAUUUUGAAAACUCAGUUUUUCCUAUAGAAAUAGACAAGCAAUCAGUCUUUAUGCAUUUUACAUAUAUGGAUUUUCCAAAGUAUUUGUUGAUAGUUAAAGUACACAAAUUUUUACUAUUCCAUUUUGUAAAAAAUGCUGACAAUUUGCAAAUGGAAAAUAAUGUUUCAAUGAGACUUUUCAUGCAAAUUCUAAAGAGGAGAGAUUCUAGAAAAUACCCUAAAUUACUUUAUUUCAUUGAGAAAUUUCAAAAAUAAGAAAAAUAUGUAACAUUAUACACAAAAGUAAUUCAUGCUAAUGUAUAUGAAGAAAAAAUUUUAUGAAUCAUUAUUGUCUCAUGCUAAAAAAGUUAAUGUGGGUAAAUGGUUUGACUUGCUAUGUAUUUAAAUUGCAAGAAGAAUGAAAGAUUGAUUUUUUUAUUUGAAAUGUGGACAUGUAUUUUUGGAGAGUGCAUACUUUCUUGAUUUUUUCCAGGUUUUAUUAAAACAUGAAGCAACAACCAUCAUCAGUCUAUUUAGAAGAAACUUGUUGCAAUGAACAUCUGUUGGUUUUGCUAGUGAGCAUUCAUACAACCUUGCUUAGCAAAAAUUUCCUUUGAAAAUGACUGUUCCUCCUACUCUAAGCAUUAAGAUUAAAAGAUAGAGUUCAUAUCCAGCUCUAGGAAUGCAUCCCAAUUGGAAUGAUGCAACCAGUGCUGAUGAAAAUGAACAGUUUAAG